UACGUAGGUGGCGAGCGUUGUCCGGAAUUACUGGGCGUAAAGGAUGCGUAGGCGGACAUUUAAGUCAGAUGUGAAACCCCCAGGCUUAACUUGGGGACUGCAUUUGAAACUGGGUGUCUUGAGUGCAGGAGAGGUAAGUGGAAUUCCUAGUGUAGCGGUGAAAUGCGUAGAGAUUAGGAAGAACACCAGUGGCGAAGGCGACUUACUGGACUGUAACUGACGCUGAGGCAUGAAAGCGUGGGUAGCAAACAGG
rnacentral:rRNA from 1 species